GAUGAAGAACGUAGCGAAAUGCGAUACUUGGUGUGAAUUGCAGAAUCCCGUGAACCAUCGAGUCUUUGAACGCAAGUUGCGCAUCAAGCCAUUAGGUUGAGGGCACGUCUGCCUGGGCGUCACAUAUCGUUGCCUGAUGCCAGUUUCCUCGUGAUGGGUGACUGUGCAGGGCGAAUGAUGGCUUCCCGUGAGCAUUGUUGCCUCAUGGUUGGUUGAAAAUUGAGUCCUUGGUAGGGAGCGCCGUGAUAGAUGGUGGUUGAGUGACGAACGAGACCCAAUCAUGUGAGCCCCCUACCGAAUUUGGCCUUCAUGACCCACAUGCGUCUUUGGAACGCUCAUGACGAGACCUCAGGUCAGGCGGGGCUACCCGCUGAGUUUAAGCAUAUCAAUAAGCGGAGGA
rnacentral:misc_RNA from 1 species